GAUGAUUUAAAAAAAUGAGGUAGCCUAAUGGUAGCAUUGCAGUCUGUCAGCACUACGACCUGAUUAAAAAAUGGACUGUUUUAAUUUCUUGUAAGAGGAUCAAACUUUUUUCUGAACUUUUAAGACUGACGAUAGUAAAGAUAUUAAGAAAAAAAAGUGUGUGGAAUGGAGGUGCAGCGAUCCCACCCCCACCAUAACCAUCUGGUGCUAGAAGUUGGGAGUGAAAAAUUAGCUGAAACUUAUAAAGUUAGGAUGUGCUGUCCUCACAGAAGUAAAGAAUCAAUGCAAGACAGCAAAUGUCUAGGUUGCCUGGAGAAAGU
rnacentral:lncRNA from 1 species